rnacentral:tRNA from 1 species
GACAGGAUGGCCGAGUGGUUAAGGCGGCAGUUUUGAAAGCUGCUUCACUUUGUGAGUGUGAGUUCAAACCUCACUCCUGUCG